rnacentral:sRNA from 1 species
AUCUAACCCUGAUAGAAAUGAAAAUAAAAAAUGCCUUGAUUGUUUCAAGGCAUUUUUUAUUGUAAUAGAUAGCAGGAAUAGGG